GGCAACGGCUGGGCGGGCGGGGGAGAGGGGAGGUGCAGGAGCCCCUUGGCCUCCCGGGAGCAUCUAUGCUACCUGAGCUGUGCGCCCGAUGCCUCCUCCCCUCCCAUCCCACCAAUGGAGGGGACUCAACUGGGCAAAGCAGCAGAGAGAUUCAGACUGAGCAGCGAAUCUGUCUUGUGACAAGGGACAUGUAUGAGGGUCACAGAGGCUAAAUGUAAAAUGAGAACGGAGUCUUCAGGGAGACAAGCCGCACACCCUGAGCUGGCUGGAGCAUCCCAAAGCUGUCUCCCGGCCCUCGGUGGGCCCUGAGAUAGCCUGUCCUGCUGCUGAAGGCUGGUUAUAUUGCCGAGGGACACUCUUCUGAGGACCGUAAAUACUUCCUGGACUCAAAGGAGCUGGUUUCCCGCACACAUCCCCUAGCACCAAAUUACUGGAGUGGCUCCUUGCUGAAGGACUAGCCAUAAGUCAGGCUUCACCAAAGCACUUUUAUGAGCGCCUUAAUGAGGGAGAUGAGCUGUCAUCAGGAACUUGCCCAGCCUUCCUGGCCACAGGAAAUGAGCUCUUUGUGCUCAAAGGGCUUCCAAAGCCCAAGCGCAAAGAGGCUUCAGGAAGUGGGGUGAGUUGAGAAGCUGUUGGCUCACAGAAUCCCAGGGCUAAACAGCCCCCAUCCUGCCAUUCGCUUCAAAGGCUCAAAUUACUCAGGGCCUUAUUGCAGCAAUAGCACCACCGAAAGUUGGCCUGUGCGUGGGGAUGCCAAUCCCUGGCCUUCCCCAACAUGGGAGCCCUCCACCAACAGCCAGCUUGUUCCCCCCUGCCACAGGAUCCCCACCCCCACACCCUAAGCCAAGACAUCCUACAGUAUGAAGCCAUGUGCGAGGGGUUGGCUCCUAGAACACAAGAACCAGGUGGGAGCCCUGCCUCAGCACUGGGCCACGCAUGCAUUGUUAGGAAACUGCCUCUCUGUUUCCUCUGAGGUUAGAAAUAGGAACAGGGUCUGUGAAGUAGACUCUGAGUAUGCAGGGAGUCACUAAUGCAGAGGGCUCAGCACAUUCUGCAGGCAGCACUGGGCAUGUAAGCAGGGUAAGCCCAGUGACAACAACAUCCUUUCCAGAGAGAGCAACAGCAGCCUCAGUGAGUGCCCUGGUCCUUCUCCCCUCAGAGGCCUGCCCCCUGCUCACCUGCUGCGUUUAUAAACACUGCUGCUUAGGGAGAGCAAGAACCAGGCUAUUUUACAGCUCUGAGCUAUUGUGCUGUUCUCAGCAUUCAGUUGGCAAAUACCAGGUGAGAAGUGAUGAGGACCUGGGUUGGACAUUUUCGGUCCAUCUUGAUCAGAGUCACCUUGCUGUGUGUUACUUGGCUGUUGCUGGUGAGCAUCUCAGCCCUCUCCUAACACAGCUCAUUGAGCGAGCGUGUACCUUGGCCUUGCAUUCUCAACCAGGAUCAAAGGGUUUAUGGGAAAAUGGAAUUAAAAGAGAAGAUUAUUUUGGCAUGAAGUAAAAACUCAAGUGCCAUUAUUUCCUGCUAGGCGUUUUCCAUGAACUCUUUCAAGUGCUUGUUCAGUACCGUAUUUAACCUUCACAACUCGGCUAAGGCCCAGAGAGAUGGAAUAACCAAGAUCAUGGUGGAAGUCACUUAGUAGAACCAGGAUUCUAACCAGGUCUACCUGAUUGGCAAGUCCAAACUAAUAACCCAGCGGGAUUAUAUACAAGCCUCGCAGCCCAUGGGUGCCAGGGAGUGUGGAUCGCAUUUAGUGUUCUUGCCCCACCCUUAACCACACCCUCAAGUCUCCUACUAGUGUCUAAUGCAGUAAAUGCUCCCUAUAUAUUUGUGGAAUGAGUGAAAAUAAAUGACUGUGACCUCUUCUUGCAGUAAUGGACCCUCUUUUUGCUCUGGGGCUGUCCUUAGAGGGAAAGAAA